rnacentral:rRNA from 1 species
UACGUAGGGGGCAAGCGUUGUCCGGAAUCAUUGGGCGUAAAGAGCGUGUAGGCGGUCCUGUAAGUCCGCUGUGAAAGUCAAGGGCUCAACCCUUGAAUGCCGGUGGAUACUGCAGGACUAGAGUCCGGAAGAGGCGAGUGGAAUUCCUGGUGUAGCGGUGAAAUGCGCAGAUAUCAGGAGGAACACCGGUGGCGAAGGCGGGUCUCUGGGCAACAACUGACGCUGAGGAGCGAAAGCGUGGGGAGCGAACAGG